rnacentral:rRNA from 1 species
CCCUUAGAUGUCCUGGGCUGCACGCGCGCUACACUGAUGUGUCCAGUAAGCACCUAACCUCUUCCGAAAGGAACGGGUAACCUUUGCAAAGCACAUCGUGAUGGGGAUAGAUUAUUGCAAUUAUUAGUCUUGAACGAGGAAUUCCUAGUAAGCACAAGUCAUCAGCUUGUGUUGAUUACGUCCCUGCCCUUUGUACACACCGCCCGUCGCUCCUACCGAUUGAAUGUUCCGGUGAGCUCUUCGGACUGCGCGGUCUGCAGUUUCUGCGUUCCGUGCGGAAAGUUGCGCAAACCUUACCAUUUAGAGGAAGGAGAAGUCGUAACA